rnacentral:rRNA from 1 species
UUUGCGGCGACCAUAGCCAAGGUGAGACGCCCGGUCCCAUUCCGAACCCGGAAGCUAAGGCCUUGCACGGCGAUGGUACUGCACCCGAGAGGAUGUGGGAGAGUAGCACGUCGCCGCUACC